rnacentral:lncRNA from 1 species
AUUACCUGAAAAGGACAAAUAAGAAGAAUGAGCUAACAAGCUUAUUGUGUAAUUAAACCCAAACAAAAAAAAACACAAAAAAACAAAAUAACCUAUCAAACAUUGCAAGGAAUCUCAUCAAACUCGUAUGGAAAAAUCGUGCAUGCAUGAUUAUGUCAGUGCAAUACUUUCAGAAAAUAAAAUGCAAAUUUUUCAAAGAACUUCCUACCCAACUUUGCUACACAC